UCCUGGCUUAGGAUGAACGCUAGCUACAGGCUUAACACAUGCAAGUCGAGGGGCAGCAGGAUCUUAGCUUGCUAAGAUUGCUGGCGACCGGCGCACGGGUGAGUAACGCGUAUCCAACCUCCCCUUAGUAGGGCAUAGCCCGAUGAAAAUCGGAUUAAUACCCUAUGUUUUUCCAAUGAGGACAUCUGAGCUGGAACAAAGAUUCAUCGCUAAGGGAUGGGGAUGCGUCCGAUUAGGUAGUCGGCGGGGUAACGGCCCACCGAGCCAUCGAUCGGUAGGGUUCUGAGAGGAAGGUCCCCCACAUUGGAACUGAGACACGGUCCAAACUCCUACGGGAGGCAGCAGUGAGGAAUAUUGGUCAAUGGGCGAGAGCCUGAACCAGCCAAGUAGCGUGCAGGAUGACGGCCCUAUGGGUUGUAAACUGCUUUUAUGCGGGGAUAAAGUUCGCCACGUGUGGCGUUUUGUAGGUACCGCAUGAAUAAGGACCGGCUAAUUCCGUGCCAGCCGCCGC
rnacentral:rRNA from 1 species